rnacentral:lncRNA from 1 species
GUGUAGCCUAGUCUUUGGGUCUUUAAUUUGUUCCUGCCAAUGCAGUACCUGCCCUGAAGGAACAGAAUAAAGUCCUAAAGCCCUCAGGACAACCCUCAGCCCCUGUGCAUGGAGAAGGUAUAGAAAUUGCCAUUCAGACCCCUCUCAGGCUGUGACCACGCACUGGUUUCUGAGAGACAUUGCCCUGUUCCGCAUUGUCCCCUGCUGGUGCUCCAUGUCCAUCCUGCCUGUGGGAAUAGCAUGGUGUUGGGAGCACCCCUGGACUGCAAGUCCAGCAGGAACCCUGAUUUGCUGGGUUACCCCAGACAACUGACUGCACCUCCCUGGGCCCUGUCAUCCCUUCAGAUAAAAUGAAAGCACGUGCUCUGAUGCUUCCUCCAGGUCUGGCUCAGAAUCCCAGCAGCAGAGGAUAUGCUCUAUCGGGCUUGGCUGCUCUGCUCUGAAUGGAGGAAGGAGCCGACAAAGACAAAGCGCCCGGGGCCCAGGAGAGUUUAAGAGCAGCCCUGUGGCUGACUAGCCCCUCCGCACCUGGAGGGCCCAUGUGCCUUUGUCUCUCUCCCCUUCCUGUGGCCUUUGGGCUGGAAAAGGACAGAAGCGAUUCUUGAUUAGGGACAGAUGUGUGCUCUUUUGCUUCACUCUCCGCUGAUAUUCACAGCAACUUUUGAGAUGGCUGGGCCUGCACUUGCUCCGCUCACGGCUCGAGAGCUCACCUGGUUUCCUGCGAUCACACAGCCAGCAGUUCGUGGGCUGCAGCUCCCACCCAGGGACCUUGCCCAACGCCUGUGCAUUUCCCAGCUCAGCUCUGCGCAGUGAAUGCCCCCAUAGAAGGAAGCAGAAAGACUUCAAAUCCUCCCUUACUCUCCUGUACUCCCCACUGCCUGACAUUUAGCCACACCUCUCCCAAAGGGUUUUAUGCUGAACAGCUUAGUGUACUUGCACAAUUUCUAGAAGAACCUGAAUCCUGUUCUUUGCUCAAAGCAUAAAUGCCAAGUGAGAAUCCCCUGGAAGAAGAAAUGUGAGCAGUGUGGUGAGAGAGGCGCUCAGCUACUGAGAAACCAGUCCCUGAGGUCCAGGGCCUGAGGCCUAGUCUCAACCCAUGAUCAGUGGACUGUAACCUUGUCUGACCUUAUGCCUUCACAGGGCCUUGGCAUUCUGUCUACAUUGAGGGAGUGGGUCUUGAUGGUCCCAGACCCCUCUUCUAUGAAAAUCACAUGUCGUUGCUCAUAGGCCUUACAACCACAGACAUGCUGGGUCGCGGCAGUGAUCAACCAGUGGAGCCCACGGAGAUUUUCCCUGCCUGGACUCUGCACAUUGUUGCAUGGAAGGGCAGGUUUGGCCAUCCUCAUAAACAUUCGUGAUCUAGAAACUGGCCGGGCUGCAACUCCCACCCAGACCCUGACUAGGCCAGAGCCACUUUAACCAACAGGCUUUUAGGUGAACUCCUUGGCAGAGAAAAUCUACUGUGGAAGCGUAAAGCUGAAGGGAAGUUUCUCUGAGCUCCAACUCUGCUGCCCUGUGAGUGAGUAUCGGAGACAGCAGCCAGUCCCGCUGAUUUCUGCCCUCUGUGUACCCCAGGCCUACUGGCUUCAGAGAAAAAGGGCUGCCUUGGUGGGCAGCACCACACUGCCCACUCUCAAAUAAACUAAAGAAAACGUUUCUUCCACAUAUGCUAAUUACCUAUUGCUAAACCCAAGGAUGGUGGAAGUGUGCUUUAUUUGGGGCAAUUGACUUAUUUGAAAGCAGCCACCAGUGUCUUGCUUCCUAAUGUAUAUGAGGACACGCUCUAUGUACCGAGUGUCUCUGGGCAGGGACUGAGUCUCAGGGGACCUGGGGGAAAGAGCCUCACUGCCCUUGGAUUUGGAUUUUAAUCCUGACUUCAUCGUGUACUACCUGUGUGACCUGAGGUGGACCACCUAACCUCUCUGAGCCUCAGUUUCCUCAGUUGUAAAAUAGAAAUGACAAAAUUUCUCUCCAACCUGACUGCCAUAGGGAUUCCUUGAAACAAAGUAUGUGAAUUGCUCAGAGCCAAGUAGGUGCUAUGUGAGUUCUAGCCCUCCUGUUUUCUGACCUUGGAUACACACUUACCCCAGGCAUGAUUAUCUUCUCAACGUCGUUGAUGAUGUCCUCAAACGUGUCUGGCUCCUGAGGGGCAGCGGCAGGGAUCAGCGGCCGCAGGUACCCGGGCUCCACGUCAGGGUAGACCUGGCGUCCCUCAAUGCCUUCCAUGUAGUUGGCCAUGUAAUCCACCAUCUCCUUCCCUCUCCUUCGGAAUUCACUUGCGUUCAUGGUGUCUGGGCUCUGUCAGAGGUGAAAACUGCAGAAAGAAAAUGAUUCAGUGAGCAAAUUUUGCAACCUCUGAACUGGAAGGCGGGGAUACCAAGCAAGCCGUGGGUAGGGACACCUGGGCAGUGACUGCAUGCCCUGGAGGCCACUUGGAUCCCAAGUAAGGGGCGCUUUCCCUCCAUGUCUGUAGGAGGUAGAAAUGGCACUGGAUUUGGGACUGAGGCAAAAGCUGCUUCUCCUCUUCACCAGCUAUUCAACUGGGAACAACACAACGUCGCUUUAUUUCAAUAGACUAGAAGCACACGUUUAUUUUCAUGAUCGAUUCCAACUUUAAUGACAAACACUGGUCCAAGUCCUGCCUCUGCCCUUACCUGCCUUUGAAAGAGACAAGCUUGCCCCUUAGAGCCCCUCUCCUCAUCUGAGAAAUGAAGACUGUGAUGCUGACCUCUCAGGAGGGCAUGAAGGCACAGUCACACAAUGCACACGAGCCUCAGCUCAGAGCCUGGGGCAGCACACCCCCUCAAACUUAGUCUUCUUCUCUCCUCUUGAUUCUGUCACAGAUGGAACUGCACCUUUACGCACCAUCUGCUUUUUAAAACUAAUGCUCUCCUCCCUCCUUGCAUAAGUAAUAUACAGGCAAUUCUCAUUAUUGCUGGUAGCUGUGUUCUAUCUACAACAGUUGCCAUGGCCAUAAACUCUGAAUUAGUGAAUACUGAACCAUUUCUUCUAGGGGAAAUACAAUUUCCUGAAGCGUGAUCCCAACAUUUUUGUCAACAAAUCAGUACAUAAACUUUUCAUGUGUUUUUAAGAGACACUUUAUUUAAUAUAUAUUGAUUCAUUAACAUUGGACUCACAGCCAACAGCACUGUAACUCCUGUCUGGGGAAGCUUCUCUAACACAUAUAUUUUCUCCAUAAGGCACGUCUUGUGCAUAGGAUGGCUAGACAGCACUUCUGCACCACAUUUGGGGGUCAUUUUAAACAGCAAAAUCACCAAGAAGAAAAACAUAAAAAUGUGAAGGAUGUGGCACUGAAUAGACAGAGAGAAGGACAUGUUUACAUUAUGAGAGCUGACGCAAGAAGGUAGUGUGUCCCUUUGUUCAGCCUCAGCUGGGAACAUACGCAUCGGACAAGCACAUUCUCCACUACGCUACACAUAUGUACGUCCCUGAGUGGUCUCAAAAGCACCAUGAGUAUUGAUAUUUAUUGACAUUGGGGGUUACAAAUGAAUUUUAGCAAGUAGGAGAAUUUGCAUAGGUGGAAUAUGUGAAUAAGAAUCAAUUGUAUUUUCAAAACAGGACAGUGAACAACACAAAGAAAAAGAUAAGCCUAAAAUCCCACAACCCAAAAUUCUGGCACAUGUCUUUCUAGAAUUUUUAUUUUACUUUAUUUUAUGUGUUUAUUUUUUUGAAACGGAGUUUUGCUCUUGUCGCCCAGGCUGAAGUGCAAUGGCACGAUCUCGGCUCACUGCAACCUCUGCCUCCCGGGUUCAAGUGAUUCUCCUGCCUCAGUCUCCUGAGUAGCUGGGAUUAUAAGCACCCACCACUAUGCCCAGCUAAUUUUUGUAUUUUUAGUAGAGGCGGGGUUUCACCACAUUGGCCAGGCUGGUCUCAAACUCCUGACCUCUGGUGAUCCACCAGCCUCGGCCUCUCAAAGUGCUGGGAUUACAGGCAUGAGCCACCGCUCCCAGCCUCUAGAAUAUUUUCUAUUUAUGAGAGACAAUUGCAUGCUAGGGAUGGACUCACAGCCAACAGCACUGUAACUCCUGUCUGGGGAAGCUUCUCUAACACAUGUAUUUUCUCCAUAAGGCACGUCUUGUGCAUAGGAUGGCACAAGGAAAAUGCAUAGGGAUGCAUUUUCAAAUCUUUUUCAUACUCCAAAGUUUUGUAGAUGAGGAAAUGGAAGCUCAGAGAGGCAAUGUGACAUGCCCAAGAUCACAUGACCAGUAAUUGCAGAAAUAGGAUUCAAAUUUAUAGCUGGCUCCAGGACAAAUUUAAGAUAAAUUUUCCCAUGGGAGUUAAGUGCUUAGGAAUACUCUAAAUUCACUGUUAUUAGCAAUGGUGAUGACCUUACUAUCAGCUUCCAGCACUUCUCUAUUUUCCCAUUGUCCAUGCUGGGAUUUUUAACAAUUUUUGUGAGGUUAAAGGUGGUAAAGAAAAAUUGUUCACCAGGCACUUGUUAAAAGUGACAAGACAGAUUUUACUCAAGACCACUGCAAUAGGGAUAGAAUGUUGCAAAAGGGGAGGGGCUGAACUCAAUUCCAAAAACAACAGGGGCACAUAGGGACUUACAGCCAACGGUCAGGUGAGAGGGUCCCUGGGUGGAAAAUUACUAAGAGGAACUUGGGUAAGUAUCAAGGGUGGAGGGGAAAAAGGAACUCUGGAUGAGAUACCAAAAGUGGAAGCACAUGAGCCUGAUUGGACAUCAAAGUUGUGCUCAGAAGGCCAAGGAGGAGACUUGGCUAAGCUCUUCCCCCUUGGGCCAGAGGAGCUUGGCUGAUGUUUGGUCAAGGUACUUUGACAAAGGUAAACCUGCUAGAAUGUGCUUUUCCUUCCAUUGGCAUUCUCUCUAAUAUUUUUACUUCCAUGUUCUCUGUUAAAUGAACAGUUACAGAAGUUUUUAUGUCAUUUCAAGGCUUAUUAGAUCCAGCCCCCAUGUUAAAGCUAUUGUUUGAGGAUGCAUUUCUCAGCUAGUGAGUGCUUGAGUGGCAGUGAUUGAGACGUAAGAUUAGACUCUAGAUUAUAGCAACAGCAAAUGCCAAACUAACAAGCAUGAGAACAACCACAAUGACUGUCUGAAGUUCUGUUGCACCUUUGUGCUUCUUAAGCCAACGACCAAGGAGUGUCCUGUUCACCAGCAAAACAUCAAGGCCAUGUGCUAAAGCAGCCAGCUUACAAUUCCUUGGGGCCUGCAGGCUUUGAAAUUAGUUUUUAGUUUGAAGUGACUGUUUUUUUUUAAUUUUGCACAUACAGUGAAACUUGGUUUUCACCUCAAGUGGAAGUAUUUCAAAUUAAUAUGACUCAAAUUUUUAACUCAAAUGGUAUCACACUGCAGAUCUUUUUGCUAGCCUGUUUUUCUUUACUAAUUUCUAAGUACAUUUCUCAUGUUGAUAAAUACUUUUCUUUUUCUUUUUUUUUUGUUUUUUUUUGAGACGGAGUCUUGCUCUGUCACCCAGGCUAGAGUGCAGUGGUGCGAUCUUGGCUCACGGCAACCUCUGCCUCCCAGGUUCAAGUGAUUCUCCUGCCUCAGCCUCCCGAGUAGCUGGGACUACAGGGCAUGGUGGCAGACACCUGGCUAAUUUUUUUUUUGUAUUUUUAGUAGAGACAGGAUUUCGCCAUGUUGGUCAGGCUGGUCUUGAACUCCUGAUCUCAAGUGUUCUGUCUGCCUUGGCCUUCCAAAGUGCUGGGAUUGCAGGCAUGAGCCACCGCACCUGCCCGAUAAAUACUUUUCUAUUGUGUGAUUUCUCACAAGUAUUUCACAAUGUGAAUGUGCCAUAUUCACAACAUGUACCUCUAUUGUUGAGCAUUUAUAUUAUUUCCAAUUUUCACCCACACAGUGGGAAGCAUUGGUGUAUCCCAGUGGCCAACACUCCGAGACCGAGAGCCAAAGAAAGGACUGCGAGUCACACCCUGAUUCUAUGUAUUAGCUAUCAUAAUCGCAUGUAUUAGCUAUUAUAACAGCAUGUAUUAGCUGUACAACCCAGCGUAAAUUGCUGCCAUGCUAAACCUCAUUUUCUUUAACUGGCAACAAAAAUCGUGACAAUAAUAGUAUAGGUACACCCCGUUUUAUUGCAUUUUUUACAAAUAGAAGGUUUGUGACAACCCUGAAUCCAGCAAGUCUAUAGGCACAAUGUUUCCAAAAGCAUGUGCUCACUCAAUGACUCUGUGUUACAUUUCAGAAACUUUUGUAAUAUUUCAAACCAUUUCAUUAUUAUUAAUCUGUUAUAGUGAUCUAUGGUCGGCAAUCUUUGAUGUUACUAUUGUAAUUGUUUUGGGACAGCAUGGACCACACCCACAUGAUGGUCAACUUAAUAAAUUUGUGUCUGACUGAACCACU